AUCUUUCAGUGAAAUCAAAGGAAAAUGAUACGGUGGCUUCAAAUUGUUUUCUUUUCAGCAACACUCAGAGGUGUCCUUUCUGAGGUCCAGCUGGUGGAAUCCGGAGGAGAUGUCAAGAGGCCCGGAGAAUCCCUCCGCCUCUCCUGUCGGGGCUCUGGGUUCAAAUUUGAUGAUUAUGGCAUGAUCUGGGUGAGGCAGGCUCCUGGGAAGGGGCUGGAAUGGAUUGCACGGAUAUAUACUGAUGGGAGCAGGACAUUUUAUGCCAGUUCAGUCCAAGGGCGCUUCACCAUCUCCAGGGACAAUCCUUCCAACAUGCUGUAUCUGCAAAUGGGCAGCCUGAAACACGAAGACACAGCUGUGUAUUACUGUGCAAGACACACAGCGAAAGCAUGA